GAUGAAUGCUGGCGGCGUGCCUAACACAUGCAAGUCGAGCGGCAGCGCGGAGAGUUUACUCUCUGGCGGCGAGCGGCGGACGGCUGAGUAACGCGUGGGAACGUGCCCCAAAGUGAGGAAUAACUGCCCGAAAGGGUGGCUAAUGCCGCAUAUGAUCUUCGGAUUAAAGGAUUUAUCCGCUUUGGGAGCGGCCCGCGUCGGAUUAGGUUGUUGGUGAGGUAAUGGCUCACCAAGCCGACGAUCCGUAGCUGGUCUGAGAGGAUGAUCAGCCAGACUGGGACUGAGACACGGCCCAGACUCCUACGGGAGGCAGCAGUGAGGAAUCUUCCACAAUGGGCGAAAGCCUGAUGGAGCAACGCCGCGUGCAGGAUGAAGGCCUUCGGGUUGUAAACUGCUUUUAUAAGUGAAGAAUAUGACGGUAACUUAUGAAUAAGCACCGGCUAACUACGUGCCAGCAGCCGCCGCGG
rnacentral:rRNA from 1 species